UACGGGGGGGGCAAGCGUUGUUCGGAAUUACUGGGCGUAAAGGGCUCGUAGGCGGCCAACUAAGUCGGAUGUGAAAUCCCCAGGCUUAACCUGGGAACUGCAUCCGAUACUGGAUGGCUUGAAUCCGGGAGAGGGAUGCAGAAUUCCAGGUGUAGCGGUGAAAUGCGUAGAUAUCGUAAGGAAGACCAGUGGCGAAGGCGGAUCUCUGGACAGCUACUGACACUGAGGCACGAAGGCCAGGGGAGCAAACGGG
rnacentral:rRNA from 1 species